AUGAUCAAGUCAGGCACAAGGAUGGAAGGCUAGUUAGACGUCUUUUAUAACAGCUUAAGGGAAAGGAAAGGGAGGAAACUAGGGCAAUUGCAGUUGGAGUGGGGUGACGGGGAUGGACCUACGAGCUGUUCUGCAGGAUACAGUCACCACAAUUCAGAGCCUCGAGAAGACGCUGCAGUCUUUGUUUUGCUGCUAGAGAUGUUCAGGUCCUUUUGGUUGUGCUAUGUAGGACGCUGCCUCAGUGCGGCUUGAUGAGCAGUGCCAUGUCUGUGCCCAGGAUCUGAGCCAGCGAAACCCUGGGCCACCGAAGCGGAGCAUGCGAACUUAACCACUCGGCCACGGGGUUAAUUAAAAUGUUUUAAAUAAUGUUAAGUUUAAUAAAUUAAUGUUAACUUAUUACAAGUCCAAGGAUCAUAUUAUCAGCUUUUUUUCUUUCAACUAGAAGUUGCUGUUAUCAUUGUUUGGAUUCCAUGUGACAAAGAGCUGGUGCUGGGCUAGUU
rnacentral:lncRNA from 1 species